AGAGUCAGAGGGAUUUGUCACUUCGGAUGAUGGAUCCUUCCCCUGAACUUUCUCCUUGGUUAUCCAACCCUCAAUCCUUUCCAAUCUCUUGGCCAUGGCUUUCUGUCCCAAGGCAAGCCCUUGCACAAUACUGAACAAAUCUCUCACCAUCUCUUUCAGUUCGAGGAUGUCGGCGUUGGGAGGAUCCAUCAGUCCGGAUUUGUUGCCCUUAGCAGGAUGUCUGAGCAAACGAUCUAUGCG
rnacentral:lncRNA from 1 species